GCCGAGUGCAGUGACGCUCACCUGUAAUCCCAAAGGCUUAGGAGGCUGAGGCAGGAGGAUUGAGAGUUCAAAGCCAGCCUCAGCAAUUUAGCAAGGCCCUAAGUAACUUAGCGAGACCCUGUCUCUA
rnacentral:sRNA from 1 species